AAGGAUAGCCUAAGAUAAUUUGG
rnacentral:piRNA from 1 species